rnacentral:rRNA from 1 species
UACGUAGGGGGCGAGCGUUGUCCGGAUUUACUGGGCGUAAAGAGCGCGUAGGCGGAAAUUUAAGCGUGGCCUGAAAGCCCCCGGCUCAACCGGGGAGUGCGGCUGCGAACUGGGUUUCUUGAGGACGAUAGAGGAGAGUGGAAUUCCUGGUGUAGCGGUGAAAUGCGUAGAUAUCAGGAAGAACACCCGUGGCUAAGGCGGCUCUCUAGUACGGUACUGACGCUGAGACGCGAAAGCGUGGGGAGCGAACAGG